AAAUUGAAAGGCGGCUUCGGCUGUCACUUAUGGAUGGACCCGCNUCNCANUANCUAGUUGGUGAGGUAACGGCUCACCAAGGCAACGAUGCGUAGCCGACCUGAGAGGGUGAUCGGCCACACUGGGACUGAGACACGGCCCAGANNNNNNCGGGAGGCAGCAGUAGGGAAUCUUCCGCAAUGGACGAAAGUCUGACGGAGCAACGCCGCGUGAGUGAUGAAGGCUUUCGGGUCGUAAAACUCUGUUGUUAGGGAAGAACAAGUGCUAGUUGAAUAAGCUGGCACCUUGACGGUACCUAACCAGAAAGCCACGGCUAACUACGUGCCAGCAGCCGCGGUAAUACGUAGGUGGCAAGCGUUAUCCGGAAUUAUUGGGCGUAAAGCGCGCGCAGGUGGUUUCUUAAGUCUGAUGUGAAAGCCCACGGCUCAACCGUGGAGGGUCAUUGGAAACUGGGAGACUUGAGUGCAGAAGAGGAAAGUGGAAUUCCAUGUGUAGCGGUGAAAUGCGUAGAGAUAUGGAGGAACACCAGUGGCGANGGCGACUUUCUGGUCUGUAACUGACACUGAGGCGCGAAAGCGUGGGGAGCAAACAGGAUUAGAUACCCNGGUAGUCCACGC
rnacentral:rRNA from 1 species